CUCUCUGUGGCGCAGUGGGCCAGUCCAUCUGGCUGUUAACCAGAAGUUUGAUGGUUCAAGCCCACCAAGGGAUG